GGUGAAGUUCAGGUAACACUGAAUGGAGGCCCGAACCCACGCACGUUGAAAAGUGCGGGGAUGAGGUGUGGGUAGCGGAGAAAUUCCAAUCGAACCUGGAGAUAGCUGGUUCUCUCCGAAAUAGCUUUAGGGCUAGCCUCAUGUUGUAAGAGUCUUGGAGGUAGAGCACUGAUUGGACUAGGGGCCCCCAACGGGUUACCGAAUUCAGUCAAACUCCGAAUGCCAAAGACUUAUCCAUGGG
rnacentral:rRNA from 1 species